GCGUAAGAAAUUUCCAAAGUAAUAGCAGAGGUAGAGGAAAUGCAAAGGCUGUUUCUGGAACAACACGAGCUUGGGUAGCCAACCCCUUGGGAGUGCCAGACUUCAGUCUAUUUCCUUACCUCUGCUCAAGGAAUAUGUACCUGCACAGUAAUAUACAGUUAAAAAAAGAAAAAAAAGUUAUGAAAGAAAAGAAGAAAAAACAAUGCUAUACUUAAAUUCAGAGAAAUCAUGUAGAACUGAAUGCUCAAUACCAACUUAUUAUUAUGAUAAAAAAAAAAUAGUCACAUAGAUAUCAGUUGUGAGGUACAAGGGCAGUAAUUUGAAAUGCAUGUCUCUUUUACAUUCUGCAUUUACAUAUGUCUAUUGUAUUCAGCACAAUACUUGAAUUUAUGAUAUAUUUAUAAUUAUUAUAAUAUAAUAAUAAUAAUUUUACUAACAAUAAUGGUGAUGGUGAUGAUGAUGCUACAUAUUUUUGUUUCCAACACGACUCUUUACAUGUUCCAUGCUUAUAGUUGUUGCCAUGUGCCUUGCCUAGUAUGUAUUUGGCAGCUUCUAUGUUGUUUGCAGAACCUAUUGAAGUGUCAUAAAAUAAGGUCACUACUUGUGUGCAUUCCUUUUCAGACAUGAUGUACCUUUGGUCUUGCAAUAAGUUCAUGGAUGAUCAAGGAGAUUUUAAGGCUAAGAUUACAGCAUAAGUUGAAAGCAGUGGAAGAAUAACAUGAAAAAUGCUGAUCAAUCCCUCAAGAUGUUGCAGAGUGGAGUUCAGAAUUAGGGCUUACAAUGUAUUGUGAAAAAAUGUAGCUUCAGUUGUAACUCGUGCGUUACCAUUUUGGAAAUAAAUGUAGACUAUGUUUAAUUGUC